rnacentral:rRNA from 1 species
UACAGAGGUGGCAAGCGUUGUUCGGAAUCACUGGGCGUAAAGGGUGCGUAGGCGGGUCUUUAAGUCAGUGGUGAAAUCCUGGAGCUCAACUCCAGAACUGCCUUUGAUACUGAAGAUCUUGAGUUCGGGAGAGGUGAGUGGAACUGCGAGUGUAGAGGUGAAAAUCGUAGAUAUUCGCAAGAACACCAGUGGCGAAGGCGGCUCACUGGCCCGAUACUGACGCUGAGGCACGAAAGCGUGGGGAGCAAACAGG